rnacentral:rRNA from 1 species
GGAAUAUUGGUCAAUGGGCGCAAGCCUGAACCAGCCAUCCCGCGUGCAGGAAGACGGCGCUAUGCGUUGUAAACUGCUUUUCCAGGGGGAGAAACUUGCGUACGUGAUACGCAAUUGACGGUACCCUGGGAAUAAGCAUCGGCUAACUCCGUGCCAGCAGCCGCGGUAAUACGGAGGAUGCAAGCGUUAUCCGGAUUCAUUGGGUUUAAAGGGUGCGUAGGCGGACUAUUAAGUCAGUGGUGAAAUCCUGCAGCUUAACUGCAGAACUGCCAUUGAUACUGAUAGCCUUGAGUUUGGUUAAGGUAGGCGGAAUGUGUAAUGUAGCGGUGAAAUGCUUAGAUAUUACACAGAACACCAAUAGCGGAGGCAGCUUACUGAGCCGACACUGACGCUGAGGCACGAAAGCGUGGG